rnacentral:rRNA from 1 species
AGUGAACGCUGGCGGUAGGCCUAACACAUGCAAGUCGAACGGCAGCACAGUAAGAGCUUGCUCUUACGGGUGGCGAGUGGCGGACGGGUGAGGAAUACAUCGGAAUCUACUUUUUCGUGGGGGAUAACGUAGGGAAACUUACGCUAAUACCGCAUACGACCUACGGGUGAAAGCAGGGGAUCUUCGGACCUUGCGCGAUUGAAUGAGCCGAUGUCGGAUUAGCUAGUUGGCGGGGUAAAGGCCCACCAAGGCGACGAUCCGUAGCUGGUCUGAGAGGAUGAUCAGCCACACUGGAACUGAGACACGGUCCAGACUCCUACGGGAGGCAGCAGUGGGGAAUAUUGGACGAUGGGCGCAAGCCUGAACCAGCCAUACCGCGUGGGUGAAGAAGGCCUGCGGGUUGUAAAGCCCUUUUGUUGGGAAAGAAAAGCAGCAGGUUAAUACCCCGCUGUUCUGACGGUACCCAAAGAAUAAGCACCGGCUAACUUCGU